GAUUGGAGAAAGAACAAACGUGGAGGAAACUAGCACUGUGAAGUGUGAACCCUAAGCGGCUACGUUGCUUCCUUCUCAAGUUAGGGUUUGUUCCAAUUCUUGGGGUUCUGGAUGCGACAGAUACCUUCUAUUUUCUAUGUCCAGUUCAGUAACAAAAGUAACUAUAUUAUUCUGUAAUGAUUAAAGAUGUGAUAUGUUGUUGUAACUGUGAGAGCACUCUGUACAUGUUUCAUGUAUUGAUAAGUUAUUGGCAAUGGAGAAUCUCUAUUUGAACCUAGAAAUAGUAGCUUGCUUAGUUGUUCUGUUUCUAAAUUUAAAGAACUAAUUAGUUUUAUUUUUAGGUUUAACAAUCUAGGGUUGAGAAUUAAAAAUCUUACAAAGUUGUACUAGUUGUUUAUAUUUGCUAAAAGUAAUGUGAAAAUAGUUUUUGAUAAAUCUUUAUCAUAAGGAGUGGAUUGUCAAGGGCUCUAGAGGAAGAGCCUUUCAUAAUCUUUUGGAGUCUUUUUCUUCCUCUUGAGUUUAUAUCAAUGCCAAAGAAUAAGAAAACAGGAUGGCAAGUGGGAGAUCCUGCAAUAAGCGUAGUGAGUGAUCAGAUCUGUAAUCCAUACCCUAUGGAUCUAGUGGUGAAGAGGAAAGUUCAGAAUUUCUCAAAAGAUCAUUACCAAGUGUUUGAUCCAAGUGGGAAUCUACUCCUGCAAAUUGAUGGACAGGCUUUUGGGUUUAACCGUAAAAGGGUUAUGCGUGAUCCUGCUGGUUUCACAAUCCUCACAGUGCGCCAAAAGGUUACAAAUAGAUUCAAUCUUUAAAACCACAAAAGGACUCUUGCUUGAGAUUGUAUUUGUGUGUGUAUAGGGGAAUACGUUGAAGAAUAAAUUGGAGGUGCAUGGAGGAGAGAGCAAAGAGAAAGAAGACUUGUUGUUUACGGCACAGCAAUCUUUAACUGUGUCGUUGAAAACAUCUUUGGUUGUUUUCUUGGCUAAGAAUAAUAAUGUCAAGAAGGGCACACUUGUGAUUUUCAUGCUUCUGGUGGAUACUCGAAUAUUUCAUCCAAAGUUUUCAAAUCAGAUGCUCUCAUUGCCGGGGUAGGGGUAUAAAAGUUAUAAGCAACAUUCUUUAAUUAUCUGGACAGAAAUCGUUAUUGGGUGAAGUGGAUUCAAAUUUACUUGAUUCACAAAGGAUCAUUCUGGAGUGUAAGAGAUAACUGAACAACAGGAUCUUGGAUGUGGAAAAAAUCCUCAAAACAAGAGUUGCUGCUAAAGGAUUUCAUCGGAUUGAUGUUAAAAACGGUGAAUCUACUUCAUUUUGGAAUGAUUACUGGUGUUCUAUGGGGCGCCUCAUUGAAGUGGUAGGAACAAUGGGUCACAUAGACUUAGGCGUAUCAGCGAAUGAGACAGUAGCAGAAGCCAUUUCUAAUCAUCGAAGACGACGCCAUCGUCUGACCAUACUAAAUAAGGUGGAAGAUGAACUUGAGAAGGUGAAAAAAUGAGAAUCAUCAAAUGGCAGACAUUGCGUUGUGGAAGAGUAAAGCAGAGGUUUAUAAGAAGGCUUUCUCCUCAAAGAAUACUUGGCUCGAGAUCAGAAAAGAAUAUGCAACACAAGGAUAGAAUAAAGUAUGGUUUAAGCAUGCUACGCCUAAAUAUUCUUUUCACAUAUGGACAGCAAUGAGAAACAGAUUAUCAACAUAUGAUAGAAUGCUUAAUUGGAAUUCAACCAUCAAUCCUAUAUGUGUUCUAUGCCAACAAAGUAUGGAGACACGUAAUCAUCUAUUUUUCUCUUGUUCAUAUUCGAGUCAAAUCUGGCAGAACCUUGUGAGAGGAUUGCUUCAAUCGAGAUAUACAGAAAAAUGGGGAGAUAUCGUCACUCUCUUGCUUGAUAGUGGACAGGAGAGUGUAAGGUUAUACUUGUUGAGAUACACUUUCCAAGCUUCUGCCCAUACGAUUUGGUGGGAAAGAAAUAGGAGAAAACUUGGAGAGAAGAAACUACCAUAUACUUUGUUGCUAAAGACCAUUGAUAAGAAUAUGAGGAAUAGACUUUCUACUAUAAGGAGCCGAGGAGAUCACAAGAUAGAUGAUGGGCUUAGAGUUUGGUUUGGAACAAGAUGAUAUGUAAAUAGAAGUUUUGUCUAUUCCUUUAAUUUUCUAUCUCAUAGUUACAUCAUAUGUAAAACAGUCUUUUUUGGAUGAAUAAAAUUUAACAUUUAUUCAAAAGAAAAAAAUAUGUGAGCUACAGGGUUAUAUUAUAUAAGUUAUAUUCGUAUUAAUAAAAAAUAACAGCACACGAUCAAAUUCUAUUUGAUUGAUAUGUAAUAGGUUUGUGUUCAUUCUCCAAUGGUGUAUCUUGCUAAUGUGUUUCAGUAUAUGAUUGUUUCAGGGGAUCAACCUGGAAAGGCUUAUCUUAAAGUUGCAGACUGUCACUGGUUGAAGGUAAGUUCUUUUGCCUUCAAACAUGAAUGUAUUAACUAGUGCCUUCAAACAUGAAUGUAUUAACUAGUUUCAUGUUAAUGAUUACAUUGUUGUCCAUCUGCAACCGGAGAGCAAACAUGAUGCUGCUAACGCCUACGCCGAAGCUGCUAAAUGCUACAAGAAACUUAACCUUGGGGAAAUUGAGAGGUCACCUGGGGAAAUUGAAUGUGUCAUACAUAAUCAAUAGCUACCAGUUUGGAAUUGACAGUCAGAAAUAUAUGAGUAAUUAUCAACUCUCUUUGCGUAUAUCGUGUCCUAAUAUGACCAUGAUCUUGAUCUUUUAUGUAGAGGCUGCUUCUUGUCUGAACUCUAGAAUGAGCAGUAGAUAUAUUCUAAGAGAUAGGAAGGUUUCAACAUGGCUACCAGAUACCACAAGGUAUCUCUUUUGAGCAUGAAUACUCUUACGUAGACAUUGUCUUCCUUGUCCAUGUUAUGUAUGUUGUGGAUCCACUGGAUAUGUUGGGAUGGAUAGAUUGAUAAGGGUUUGGUGUAUCUCGGACAAAGGCAAUCCACUCGGCAGUAACUUGAUUAAGUAUUUUUCUUCAUCAAGAUCAGUUGUUUAUACACGAGACUGGAUAAUCAAAAAAGAAAUACUUGUAUGUUAAAGCAUCAACACAUAAAAAACACAGCCAAACUUAUUGGUAAACAGAGACUAGUGUCUAAAAAUAACAUAUAGUUUUUAUGUUAAUCUGAUUUUGCUAAAAGUAUAACCCAUGUGGAAACUUGAGUUUGUUACCAAGAAAACAGCUUGUGUAGCUUUGAUAGCUGAUCCUUGUGGUGGCUCUCAACCAAUGCUGUAUUUCAAUUUCUCAAGAAAACUUGCAACAAAGAUUCUUUCUAGCAGUCCAUUAUACUCAUAAGACAACUCACUGAAGCAAAGUGUAAGAUUGGUUACACGUAUGUUCAAUGCGAAGUUGAUCCAACUAUUGGCGGCUUGGAUACAAAAGUGUAAGUAAUUUCAAAUUUUUAUUCAAUGAGUUGUUUGAUUGUAGUCAUCAGCUACCAACAAACAUCUUUGUUACAAAAUGCAUUAUGAAAUUGUUAUCUCUGUUUUUAUGUUAUAUGGUUAGUAUCAUGAUGAUUAACAUUAUAAUUUAUCUUGAAUAAAAAUUACACAAGUCAAUUUUUGGGCAAUUUUCAUUUUCUUUUUGAUUAAGAGUUUAGCUUAUAGGAACACAUUGAUUUGUAUAUGUGAUCACUAUCUUAUAAGAUAAGCUUAUCAAAAUUGAAAUUUGUUUGAAUGAAAGUGCUUACCUUACCUAAGAUCACUUAUAACUUCGGAUGUAAAAGACUUUGUCUCUACUAUUGAGUGCCUAAGAACAAUUUGGGAAUGAAAACAGGGGAAUUGAUGAACCGGAGAGUAAAAUGCCUUUUGGAAAAGAGUCACAUGAUGAGCUACUAAAGAUGGUUGAAGGAAAAAGCUUGAAGGUGUUAGUGUACACAGAGAAUCGUUAUGGAAGAUGCGUAGGAGAUAUAUACUGCAAUGGAAAGUUUGUACAAGAAGUUAUGUUAAAGAAAGGUCUUGCUUGGCAUUAUCUAGCCUAUGACAAGCGUCCAGAGCUUGCAAAGGCAAGAUUCUGUAAACCUUUAAGUCUCUUUUUGUAUUAGACUUUAUAAUGUUUUAACAGUUUCCUUUUUUUGGUGUCUGAGAUCAGUGGGAAAAUGAGGCUAAGCAGAAGCGUAUUGGCUUGUGGGCGGCUAAAAAUCCAGAGAAGCCAUGGGAGUGGAGAAAGAACAAACGUGGAGGAAACUAACACUGUGACCCUAAGCGGCUACGUUGCUUCCUUCUCAAGUUAGGGUUUGUUCCAAUUCUUGGGGUUCUGGAUGCGACAGAUACCUUCUAUUUUCUAUGUCCAGUUCGGUAACAAAAGUAACUAUAUUAUUCUGUAAUGAUUAAAGAUGUGAUAUGUUGUUGUAACUGUAAGAGCACUCUGUACAUGUUUCAUGU
rnacentral:lncRNA from 1 species